GGUCCGAGCCACUGAGCGGUU
rnacentral:miRNA from 1 species